GUGUCCGAGCCGUCAGCAUAGACCAAUCCUCCAGACUUCGAAUCUGGCGAUUGCAGGUUCAAAUCCUGCCGGGCGCACCA
rnacentral:tRNA from 1 species